CUGCCCUCGAGGAGCUUACGUUUCAACGGGGAGGCAGCACGCACGCUACAUUCCUUUCAAAGUUCCCAUCAUAAAGUAUGACACAAGAGACCUCUUUCCCAGCUUGGUGGGAAACAAACCCUUGGUCAUCACUCUUCGAAAAAGGUCUCAGACCUUCCUCCCCACCACUGGUGACAUCAAGAAGGAUUUGACUCUGCCCAGCUUGUUCCAAGUGCCAGAAGCCUCCCAUCAGAGGGAGCAAACAUAUUCGAGUGAAAACUCAUCUGUCCUUGAUCUUCCCAUCACUGACCAAUACCCCCUCUGCCCAGACUGCAUGAGAAUGAAAGCUGAGAGAUGGAGACUCAAAGAAAAGCAGGACUCAAGAUAUCAAGGCCUCCGCCAUUUCAUAAAACCAACCAAAAAAAUGAUGAUUGUGAAUGCCCCAAGGCACCUACAACUUCCCCUCAUGGAUUUUAUGAAUGACAAGUAAGUUGAAGGCUUAUAAUGGGACAAUUAAUUCUGGUAACAUUGUGGUGAGAAAGAA
rnacentral:lncRNA from 1 species